AUUGAACGCUGGCGGCAGGCUUAACACAUGCAAGUCGAACGAGUGGCGGACGGGUGAGUAAUGCUUGGGAAUCUAGCUUAUGGAGGGGGAUAACUACGGGAAACUGUAGCUAAUACCGCGUACCAUAGGAUGAGCCCAAGUGGGAUUAGGUAGUUGGUGAGGUAAAGGCUCACCAAGCCGACGAUCGCUAGCUGGUCUGAGAGGAUGAUCAGCCAAACUGGGACUGAGACACGGCCCAGACUCCUACGGGAGGCAGCAGUGGGGAAUAUUGCACAAUGGGCGCAAGCUGAUGCAGCCAUGCCGCGUGUAUGAAGAAGUCCUUCGGGUUGUAAAGUUCUUUCGGUAGCGAGGCGUUAACUACAGAAGAAGCACCGGCUAACUCCGUGUCAGCAGCCGCGGUAAUUC
rnacentral:rRNA from 1 species